UGUAGCUACAGCUCUUUUAGUAUUUGUUUAACAGGGUUUUCUGCCUUUGUAGAAGACCCUUA
ensembl:snRNA U7 U7 small nuclear RNA